AACGAACGCUGGCGGCAGGCUUAACACAUGCAAGUCGAACGGAUCCUUCGGGAUUAGUGGCAGACGGGUGAGUAACGCGUGGGAACGUACCCUUUGCUACGGAAUAACUCAGGGAAACUUGAGCUAAUACCGUAUGUGCCCUACGGGGGAAAGAUUUAUCGGCAAAGGAUCGGCCCGCGUUGGAUUAGCUAGUUGGUGGGGUAAUGGCCUACCAAGGCGACGAUCCAUAGCUGGUCUGAGAGGAUGAUCAGCCACACUGGGACUGAGACACGGCCCAGACUCCUACGGGAGGCAGCAGCGGGGAAUAUUGGACAAUGGGCGCAAGCCUGAUCCAGCCAUGCCGCGUGAGUGAUGAAGGUCUUAGGAUUGUAAAGCUCUUUCACCGGUGAAGAUAAUGACGGUAGCCGGAGAAGAAGCCCCGGCUAACUUCGUG
rnacentral:rRNA from 1 species